rnacentral:piRNA from 1 species
UCGUCUUUGGUGUGUCCCACAUGUUUGCCU